rnacentral:lncRNA from 1 species
UUCAGGCAAGUUUUUCAAGUUCUUUUUACUUAAACUCUUUUAAGAGUGGUUUCAGACAGAUAUGCUUAUGAAUUGUACUCUGUACAUAUUGCAUGUAUUCAUCAGGUAUGAAAGGCUGAUCACCUUCAUUACCAGUCAGUUCAGAUAUAAUUGUUAUGUUCAUUUUCAAUGUUCAUUCAGCUUUGAAAUUUUGUUCAUGCUAAUUCACAACUACAUUGUGAAGGAUAGCCAGCUUAUUAUUUAGACUCUUUCAAUCAUGAUAUAUCUUUACAUUGUUUUUAAACUUGCUGGGCAACUUUCAUGCUCACCCUUGCUAUAUCAUGAUAAAACAUUGCAGAUAAGGAGAAUACGGC